rnacentral:rRNA from 1 species
GACGAACGCUGGCGGCGUGCUUAACACAUGCAAGUCGAGCGAAUGACGAGGAGCUUGCUCCUCUGAUUUAGCGGCGGACGGGUGAGUAACACGUGGGUAGCCUGCCUGUAAGACGGGGAUAACUCCGGGAAACCGGAGCUAAUACCGGAUGAUAACGAGAAGCGCCUGCUUCUUUUUUGAAAGUCGGUUUCGGCUGACGCUUACAGAUGGGCCCGCGGCGCAUUAGCUAGUUGGUGAGGUAACGGCUCACCAAGGCGACGAUGCGUAGCCGACCUGAGAGGGUGAUCGGCCACACUGGGACUGAGACACGGCCCAGACUCCUACGGGAGGCAGCAGGAGGGAAUCUUCGGCAAUGGACGAAAGUCUGACCGAGCAACGCCGCGUGAGCGAUGAAGGCCUUCGGGUCGUAAAGCUCUGUUGUCAGAGAAGAACAAGUACCGGAGUAACUGCCGGUACCUUGACGGUACCUGACCAGAAAGCCACGGCUAACUACGUGCCAGCCGCCGCAGUAAAAC